UACACUGUCAGUUAAAUUUUCUUGCUUCAAUCGAGAUUGUAUAAGAAACGACUGUAUUACUUCUGUACCAUUAUAAUGUUAACGGGUAUAAAUGAUUAUUUGUUCCCUCGUGGGAGCGAGCGGACGGGCCCGAAAGUCCCUUUCGAGUCGGUAAGCGCACUCCACGGGUCGGAUUAAAAUCGUGUCCGAAUAAUACGCAUCCCGACACGUCCACGCGUUUGGUCCAUAUUUGGGUC